rnacentral:lncRNA from 1 species
AUGGGCUCCAUGGGGCCAGCCCGAGGGCCCCAUGCAGGCUGGACGGGGCAGUGUGAAGUGCAGGGAGGACACAGGACACGGAAGACAGAGGGCGAGGUGCCACCUGGUGCUGCUGGACAACGCGAGGCCAGCCUCAGAAGCUUUGAGUGGGAAACUCGCUCACAGCCCCAGCGCUGGGUGUCACCGGGCCUCUCCUUAGGUUAACACCCCGGCAGGACUCCCUCCUGAAGGAAGGCAGACGUGGCAGGAGGUGACCGCAGGUGCCCAGGAGGAAAAGGAGAGCUUGAGUUUUUUGAUUACGUAAAACAGAAAAGCAGGGGUGACACCAGACUGCACAUGCCUUAACAUGG